CCUACGGGGUGCAGCAGUGAGGAAUAUUGGUCAAUGGACGCAAGUCUGAACCAGCCAUGCCGCGUGCAGGAAGACGGCUCUAUGAGUUGUAAACUGCUUUUGUACGAGGGUAAACGCAGAUACGCGUAUCUGUCUGAAAGUAUCGUACGAAUAAGGAUCGGCUAACUCCGUGCCAGCAGCCGCGGUAAUACGGAGGAUUCAAGAGUUAUCCGGAUUUAUUGGGUUUAAAGGGUGCGUAGGCGGUCGGAUAAGUUAGAGGUGAAAUCCCGAGGCUCAAUUUCGGAAUUGCCUCUGAUACGGUUCGGUUAGAGAGUAGUAGCGGUAGGCGGAAUGUAUGGUGUAGCGGUGAAAUGAUAAGAGAUCAUACAGAACACCGAUUGCGAAGGCAGCUUAACAAGCUACUUCUGACGUGGAGGCACGAAAGCGUGGGGAGAAAACAGGAUGAGAUACCCGAGUAGUC
rnacentral:rRNA from 1 species